rnacentral:rRNA from 1 species
GAACGCUGGCGGCGUGCUUAACACAUGCAAGUCGAACGGAAAGGCCCUGCUUUUGUGGGGUGCUCGAGUGGCGAACGGGUGAGUAACACGUGAGUAACCUGCCCUUGACUUUGGGAUAACUUCAGGAAACUGGGGCUAAUACCGGAUAGGAGCUCCUGCUGCAUGGUGGGGGUUGGAAAGUUUCGGCGGUUGGGGAUGGACUCGCGGCUUAUCAGCUUGUUGGUGGGGUAGUGGCUUACCAAGGCUUUGACGGGUAGCCGGCCUGAGAGGGUGACCGGCCACAUUGGGACUGAGAUACGGCCCAGACUCCUACGGGAGGCAGCAGUGGGGAAUAUUGCACAAUGGGCGGAAGCCUGAUGCAGCAACGCCGCGUGCGGGAUGACGGCCUUCGGGUUGUAAACCGCUUUCGCCUGUGACGAAGCGUGAGUGACGGUAAUGGGUAAAGAAGCACCGGCUAACUACGUGCCAGCAGCCGCGGUGAUACGUAGGGUGCGAGCGUUGUCCGGAUUUAUUGGGCGUAAAGGGCUCGUAGGUGGUUGAUCGCGUCGGAAGUGUAAUCUUGGGGCUUAACCCUGAGCGUGCUUUCGAUACGGGUUGACUUGAGGAAGGUAGGGGAGAAUGGAAUUCCUGGUGGAGCGGUGGAAUGCGCAGAUAUCAGGAGGAACACCAGUGGCGAAGGCGGUUCUCUGGGCCUUUCCUGACGCUGAGGAGCGAAAGCGUGGGGAGCGAACAGGCUUAGAUACCCUGGUAGUCCACGCUGUAAACGGUGGGUACUAGGUGUGGGGUCCAUUCCACGGGUUCCGUGCCGUAGCUAACGCUUUAAGUACCCCGCCUGGGGAGUACGGCCGCAAGGCUAAAACUCAAAGGAAUUGACGGGGCCCCGCACAAGCGGCGGAGCAUGCGGAUUAAUUCGAUGCAACGCGUAGAACCUUACCUGGGUUUGACAUGGAUCGGGAGUGCUCAGAGAUGGGUGUGCCUCUUUUGGGGUCGGUUCACAGGUGGUGCAUGGCUGUCGUCAGCUCGUGUCGUGAGAUGUUGGGUUAAGUCCCGCAACGAGCGCAACCCUUGUUCACUGUUGCCAGCACGUUAUGGUGGGGACUCAGUGGAGACCGCCGGGGUCAACUCGGAGGAAGGUGGGGAUGACGUCAAGUCAUCAUGCCCCUUAUGUCCAGGGAUUCACGCAUGCUACAAUGGCUGGUACAGAGAGUGGCGAGCCUGUGAGGGUGAGCGAAUCUCGGAAAGCCGGUCUCAGUUCGGAUUGGGGUCUGCAACUCGACCUCAUGAAGUCGGAGUCGCUAGUAAUCGCAGAUCAGCAACGCUGCGGUGAAUACGUUCCCGGGGCUUGUACACACCGCCCGUCAAGCCAUGAAAGUUGGUAACACCCGAAGCCGGUGGCCUAACCGUUGUGGGGGAGCCGUCGAAGGUGGGACUGGUGAUUAGGACU